rnacentral:rRNA from 1 species
UCGAAAGCUACAAAGAGCGCAUGGUGAAUGCCUAGGCGCAGACAGCCGAUGAAGGACGCAGAAAGCGGCGAUACGCCACGGGGAGUUGCUAACAAGCCUUGAUCCGUGGAAUUCCGAAUGGGGCAACCCAGCAGGUGUUACGACCUGUUACCUUCUGGUGAAUACAUAGCCAGUUGGAGGCAAGCCGGUGAACUGAAACAUCUUAGUAACCGGAGGAAGAGAAAGAAAAAUCGAUUUUCUUAGUAGCGGCGAGCGAAAGGGAAAGAGCCCAAACCGGAAACUUGUUUCCGGGGUUGUGGACAGAACAUAACUAUUGGUAGGACGUAAUCGAA